UUACCAACUUAAUAUAAUUUCUGAGAUCGACAUUCAGCUUGCGUUCAUCCAUACGAGUGUUCGAUAGGCAGACAGAGCUAUUCAGCUUAUCAUGCUGUUUUUUUUAUAUUCUGCCACGCCACUUUCUGCUUGUUAAAUAUUUUUUAACGAAAUUAUUAUACCCUAAAUUUCAAUAUCCAAUGGGUUCGAAAGACAGAAGAAGACAUUUACUAUUUCACUACAUGUAAUUUGUGUGAAAAACAUCUUUCUUAUCAAUGAAAGGGUAUUCAAUAGAGAAAUUUGCCUCCUGACAACUGCCGUGCUCAAUAUUUACACACUUAUGUGGAACAUCUCCUUUAGCAUCAGCAUCCACGACGCUUAUCUACUUUACCCAUUGGCCUCCAGCCGUUAAGAGCACAGUUAUUGGCAAUAGCUGGUGGACUGCUGCAUUGGUUGGCUGGCUGUUCAUAGUCAGCCGGCGCCCAUAUAAGCCACGAUUAUUAAAAAUUGAAAAUACUUUGCCAACGGGAGAGUCGCAGUAAGGCUGCUAGAAGGGCAAAGUUUUUGAUUGCAGUUUAUGCAUAUGAAUGAAGUUGUUUGGCUUUUAACUUUGCCAACAAGCAAAAGAACAAGAGCCAAGAAAAAAAAUACCUUAAAGAACAUCUUUGGAUAAAAGAAAGUAAAAGCAAAAGAAAAACUAUUGACAAUUUGCAUCAAAAACUGGCAGAGAGCAAAGUACAUUUCCCAAGAGCGGCUCAUAAUUAAGUUUACGAUCGGAAUUGAACCGGGCGAAGUGCGAAGUCGGAGAGGUCGAACAGCCCUCUGCCCCAAUUCGGCUGUCAAUCCAACCAUUAGGUAAAGCGUCAAGCGUAAAAUACAAAACUGAAAUUUUGUGUUCAACAAAUGUUGACAGGAGCCCAGCCAAGUUGCGGUACCAGAAACAGGCAGCUCCAUUAGAGACGUCUCCGUAGUCCGGAGUCCACAGUCCGGGCCGGGUUGACAGCUGGCGCUGACGGAGAUGCGCGACAAAGUGACGCAAAGUUUAAUUGAAAUUCUAGAAGAGCGAAGCAGCAAAGCCAAGCUGGCUAAAAAAACACACCAA